rnacentral:lncRNA from 1 species
UUUUAGCUUUCAUUACGAACUUCUAGAUAGCCACUUUUUAUCUGAAAGUUGUUUCUGACAUCAGGUUGGUGGGUUCUAAAGUGUAUGAUCUGGCAUACUAGACAAAAUGCCAUGUCUCAUUCAAAUAGAUUUAGGAUGACGUGCUAUUUUGUAUACAACAUUGAACUAAGGUCAAAUUCAUAGUUUAAUGUCUAACUUCCUCACACAACCACUAUUAUUCCACCUCUAAACUAGUUCUUUACUUCACUUUAUCUGCCCAUUCAUGAAUUGAAGGAGUCGACUUUUUUAUUUCUCUUUAAUCGUCUUUCCGAAAGUGUAUCAGAUUAGAAAUCCUUCAUAUUUUUCCUCAAUUUGUGUCUUAUAUCAGUAGUUGCAUUUUUUAAGAUAAUGCUAUCAAGUCUUCUAGUUGACGGUGGCACAAGUGAUUGAUGAUUAGGUUAAAAUUUCGUUUUUUGUGUCCAACCUUUCGGAAACUUUUAAUUCAGACCUACCUUCUUAAAAUAAUUAUAAUUUUUUUUUUUUUACAGAAGACACGCAGGUGGCUUGUGUGAACCAGCAUGUCUUUUACCAUGAUAUAAGCAACCCAUUUCUCAUUUAAAAAUGCAGCCAAAAUUCUUUAAGGCAUACAAUAAACUUAAAUUGGACUAGUAUUGGGCCUUCAUUCUCCUCUAGGAUAAGCAUCACGCUGAUUUUCAUAAAACUAUACUGUAAUGCUAUAUGCUAAUGAUAAUUACCCUCACCUUGUCGUUCAUUCGCUGAAGCUAAUAUUAGAAACUGUGUAGUGUGUAGUAUCAAGCAGGGUUUUUGUGAUUGCAAAACCUUAGUUACGGAAUUCUCUCCACUUCCAUUUCUCAAGUCUAAGGUACUGAGGCUUGAUAUUUUACGUUACGAAACUUGACUCCUGAAAAAUUCAAAUACAGAUGAGGGCAUAACAGGGGGAGUUAACAAUAUUAGCAUUUAUCCAUCUGAAUCACAAAAGAGAAACAUAAUUCAAGUCUCCAACACAAAUAAAUCCCUCUUCUUCUAUUUCAAUCUCUCCAAGAGGUAUAUGCAGCAAUACAAUAAAGUGGAACUCCAUGGUCUUGGGAUGGCUUUUUCCACAGUGUUUGUAUUGCUGAAAUUCUGAAAGAACAAUGGAAUUGGCAUUGAAAAGAAAAUCAGGACAUUGACUGUAGACACAAGGGAUGAACCAGGCAUGCAAUUAGUCUCCAAGAGAAGUUUGAGAUAUUACUGGAGAAGUGAGAGAACUCGAUGAAUUGAUGGCUGCUGAAGCAAAGGAAUGAGAAUAUGGAGGUGACGAACACAAUGGACCUACAUACUUCCAUAGUCUGGUCCAAGUCCAGUCAUCUUUUAUCUGUCUGGGUAAACUACAACUAGUUAAGUGUAUAACUUACUGGACUUCCUUUUUUUUUCAUUUUCCCUUUUUUUUUUUUUUUUUUUUUUUUUUUUUUUAAGAUGUGGUGGGGGUUUAUAUUAUGUCUGUGUAGUAGGAUUGAAACUCCAGGUGAUGAUAUUUCUUAGAUCAGUUCAAUGAGGAGCAAUCCUUCCGAACCAGAAAGUAGGAAAAAAAAGAAGUCUUACAUGCUGAAGUUAUAUGUUCCACAAGUGGAUAAUGUGUACUGACCUUUUCCGAAAUUAGGAUGUUUCCUGUGGGAAUGGCUUUGGGUUUGCAAAAGAAAAAUAUAGCUAUGAAAAAUAAGAACAGCUCUUAAAUUAACUUUUGUCACUCCCUUCUCUUCCUAAAUGUGCCAGUUAAAUUAUUUUUCACCAAAAAAAUCUUGAUAAGAUGUUGCCUUAACAAAAACACAUCAUUUGCAGAAUCUCUGCAGGAUUUUAGUCAGUAUCAAUAACUUCCUGCAGAUCGUAAUUGAAGUUCAAGUUGAGCACACUUUAUGACAUGGCUGAAUUCAACAGGCUAUUUUUGUUCCCCUUUUUCUUUUUGGUUGCUACUGAUUCCACAAAUAGUGCACAGCAGAGAUUGUUUCUUCUCUUCUUUUGCUCUCGUGCAAAUUAGUAUCUGCUUGUUGUCUUUGCAAAAGUUCCAAAUUUCCUGAAUGCCCAUCAAGAUAGAGUUUUUCGCUUGCAAUUUUAUUUACUUGAUAAUCAAGUUGCACGCAUUUGGAGGAGGAAUCACUAUGAAGCUCUACUGCAUUCUUUCAAUAUUGUAUUCGUUACUCAUAGUAAAAAGUUUGUUCUGAAUUUUGACACUUAAUUUUUAAGCAGGAUGCAUGCUUAAGUGUAUUUGGGUCAUAGUCUCCUCGACCAAUGAUAGGCACGAAAGCUGGCUUCAAAGGAUCUUUCUUGACAUAAUGAGGAUAAAUUAUUGCUUGAAAUUUAGUAAAAGUGGUUUUCUCAACCAAAAACUUGUACCUGCUUGGCCCCUGCACUCUAGAAGGUCGUUGCUGUUACAGUUAUUAGAGCUGAUAUUGAGGUGUCAUAUUUGAAUGUUGCAAGAACCGGGUUCAUCUGCUUGGAAGAGAAAAAGAAGGGUGGGGGGGGGGGGGGUUCAAUUUGAAAUUGAGGUUCUCUUAGUAGACUAAAUUAUAAUUUGUCGACAUGGCAACCAUUGUAAGUUUCCUUUUGUGUGCGCGCAUGUGUGCGUUUGCGCUCUUUUAUUGAACUUAGAACUAGAUAUUAUUUAUAGGCAUGAUUUUAUUUAAAUUUAAUGUGUAAUGCAUCAUUUGUAAGUUGAUCAAUUUGUGCACAAAUUCUUGUGGGGAAUUAGAACUUUGUACGAAGAGGAACACUGGGGAGAAGAUGGAAGGCUUGAAGUAACUUGGUUUUAUGAAUCAAGAAUCGUGAAAGAAUUUACAACUUACUUUAACAUAAAUUCAGUUAAAGAUUUUUACAUGAAACGAGAAUUUUCAUGAUCUUUUUGUGGUUGAAUCACAUUGCUUUCCAAACUUCAAAAUCUAUAUUAUCUUGCAAUCUAAUGGUUCCAA